AUGUGGAUUGCCAGAAACCCAGCAACUUUUGUCCAAACCCUCAGUGAAUCCAAGAUAUCUAUUCCGUGCUUUUUUCUCAAGUGGUGGAUUUACAUUGUUUUGUUGGGAGCAAUUGCCAUCCUCAUCUUUCUAAAUGCUUUAUGCUUGCCCUAUUAUUAUUUUUUCACUUCAUAUUUGAUCCUUGCCCCCACUGAACUCUCUCAACCUCCAUCCUAAGCACUUAAUAUGUGUUGGAGAAGCUGAUGGACAUAGGCUUGCA
rnacentral:misc_RNA from 1 species